AAAGUGCGAUAACUAGUGUGAAUUGCAUAUUCGUGAAUCAUCGAGUCUUUGAACGCAGCUUGCACUCUAUGGAUCUUCUAUAGAGUACGCUUGCUUCAGUAUCAUAACCAACCCACACAUAAAAUUUAUUUUAUGUGGUGAUGGACAAUUUCGGUGAAAUUUAAUUAUUAUGCCGAUUGUCUAAAAUACAGCCUCUUUGUAAUUUUCAUUAAAUUACGAACUACCUAGCCAUCGUGCUUUUUUGGUCCAACCAAAAAACAUUUAAUCUGGGGGUUCUGCCAACCAAGCAGAUAUUUAAUGCUCUUUAACUAUGAUCUGAAGUCAAGUGGGACUACCCGCUGAACUUAA
rnacentral:misc_RNA from 1 species